rnacentral:rRNA from 1 species
CCUACGGGUGGCUGCAGUGAGGAAUAUUGGUCAAUGGACGAGAGUCUGAACCAGCCAUGCCGCGUGCAGGAAGACGGCUCUAUGAGUUGUAAACUUCUUUUGUACAAGAGUAAACCUGAAUACGUGUAUUCAUUUGAAUGUACUGUACGAAUAAGGAUCGGCUAACUCCGUUCCAGCAGCCGCGGUAAUACGGAGGAUCCAAGCGUUAUCCGGAUUUAUUGGGUUUAAAGGGAGCGUAGGCGGGUUGAUAAGUUAGAUGUGAAAUUUUCGGGCUCAACUCGGGAACUGCCAUUAAUACUGUUGAUCUAGAGAAUAGAUGAGGUAGGCGGAAUGUAUGGUGUAGCGGUGAAAUGCUUAGAGAUCAUACAGAACACCGAUUGCGAAGGCAGCUUACCAAUCUAUAUCUGACAUUGAGGCACGAAAGUGUGGGGAGCAAACAGGAUUAGAUACCCGUGUAGUC